UACGUAGGUGACAAGCGUUGUCCGGAUUUACUGGGCGUAAAGAGCGCGCAGGCGGUCGAUCAAGUCGAGUGUGAAAGCCCCCGGCUCAACUGGGGAGGGUCAUUCGAUACUGAUCGACUCGAAGGCAGGAGAGGGUAGUGGAAUUCCCGGUGUAGUGGUGAAAUGCGUAGACAUCGGGAGGAACACCAGUGGCGAAGGCGACUACCUGGCCUGUUCUUGACGCUGAGGCGCGAAAGCUAGGGGAGCAAACGGG
rnacentral:rRNA from 1 species